UGAGUAAUACAUCGGAACGUGUCCUGUAGUGGGGGAUAGCCCGGCGAAAGCCGGAUUAAUACCGCAUACGAUCUACGGAAGAAAGCGGGGGAUCCUUCGGGACCUCGCGCUAUAGGGGCGGCCGAUGGCAUAUUAUCUAGUUGGUGGGGUAAAGGCCUACCAGGGCGACGAUCUGUAGCUGGUCUGAGAGGACGACCAGCCACACUGGGACUGACACACGGCCCACACUCCUACGGGAGGCAGCAGUGGGGAAUUUUGGACAGUGGGGGCAACCCUGAUCCAGCAGUGCCGCGUGUGUGAAGAAGGCCUUCGGGUUGUAAAGCACUUUUGUCCGGAAAGAAAACCAUCGCCCUAAUAUGGUGGUGGGAUGACGGUACCGGAAGAAUAAGCACCGGCUAACUACGUGCCAGCAGCCGC
rnacentral:rRNA from 1 species